UAUAAAUGCAAAUUAUGAUGAUGAGACAGAAAUUUUAGAGUACGGUGAAAUUAUUCGAGUUUAUACAAUGAUUUUUAGGUUUAUCACAGAGAAAGAGCGCCGUUGACGUCAACGUCAAAGUCAAAAGAGUCAGGUAUGUCUGCGAUUGGAAAGUUAAAACCCCAGGAAACUUCAC